UGCAGUCGACGCGAAAGCCCCGCAAGGGGCAAGUAGAGUGACAAACGGGUGAGUAACACGUGGGUGAUCUGCCUCGAAGUGGGGGAUAACGACCCGAAAGGGUCGCUAAUACCGCAUAACAUCCUGCUUUUGGAUAAGCGGAGAUCAAAGCCGGGGAUCGCAAGACCUGGCGCUUGGAGAGGAGCCCGCGGCCGAUUAGCUAGUUGGUGAGGUAACGGCUCACCAAGGCGACGAUCGGUAUCCGGCCUGAGAGGGCGGACGGACACACUGGGACUGAGACACGGCCCAGACUCCUACGGGAGGCAGCAGUGGGGAAUUGUUCGCAAUGGGCGCAAGCCUGACGACGCAACGCCGCGUGGAGGACGAAGAUCUUCGGGUCGUAAACUCCUUUCGAUCGAGAAGAAUGCCUUCGGAGUGAAUACCUCCGGAGGGUGACGGUAUCGAGAGAAGAAGCCCCGGCUAACUCUGUGCCAGCAGCCGCGGUAAUACAGGGGGGGCAAGCGUUGUUCGGAAUUACUGGGCGUAAAGGGCUCGUAGGCGGCCAACUAAGUCACACGUGAAAUCCCCAGGCUUAACCUGGGAACUGCGUGUGAUACUGGAUGGC
rnacentral:rRNA from 1 species